rnacentral:rRNA from 1 species
UACGAAGGGGGCUAGCGUUGUUCGGAAUUACUGGGCGUAAAGGGCGCGUAGGCGGUGUGUCAAGUCAGGCGUGAAAGCCCCGGGCUCAACCUGGGAACCGCGCUUGAGACUGGCACGCUAGAGUUCGGGAGAGGAUGGUGGAAUUCCCAGUGUAGAGGUGAAAUGCGCAGAUAUCAGGAGGAACACCGGUGGCGAAGGCGGAUCUCUGGGCCGUAACUGACGCUGAGGAGCGAAAGCAUGGGGAGCGAACAGG